AGAGUUUGAUCCUGGCUCAGGACGAACGCUGGCGGCGUGCUUAACACAUGCAAGUCGAGCGAUGAGAUCCCUUCGGGGAUGGAUUAGCGGCGAACGGGUGAGGAACACGUGAGGAAUCUGCCUUCUACUCUGGGAUAACUCCGGGAAACCGGGGCUAAUACCGGAUAUGAAACUUGGUGGUAUCACCGAGUUUGGAAAGUUUUUCGGUAGAAGAUGACCUCGCGGCCUAUCAGCUUGUUGGUGAGGUAAUGGCUCACCAAGGCGACGACGGGUAGCCGGCCUGAGAGGGCGACCGGCCACACUGGGACUGAGACACGGCCCAGACUCCUACGGGAGGCAGCAGUGGGGAAUAUUGGGCAAUGGAGGAAACUCUGACCCAGCGACGCCGC
rnacentral:rRNA from 1 species